AAGAACUAGGGCAUACAACAAUGGAUCAAUUCAUUCAACAAGAUCCGUUCGGAUCGGACCAGGAUGAAUGGGAUUGGUCUGACCUCUCGCUCAGAUGGUUGACUCCCGCCGCCGACAGAUGUCCCAUGCCACGUUUCGUGAACAGCUAUGCCCGAGAAUGAAUGAAUUGUGAUAUAGCGCCGAAUAAGCCACUGCUCUAUUCCCGACUCGAAAUCUAUAAAGGACUUUAAGGGAGAGAAAAUAGGGGGCCCUACACCAUACAUCCUGCUGCCUCGGGACGACUGCACGUUA
rnacentral:misc_RNA from 1 species